rnacentral:rRNA from 1 species
CGGCAGGCUUAAUACAUGCAAGACGAACGGCAAGAUUUUUAGCAAUAAGAAUCCCAGAGUGUCGUAAGGGUGCGUAACACGUAUGCAAUCUGCCCUCAACAGGAGGAUAGCUCCCCGAAAGGGGAAUUAACACUCCAUAAGAUCAUGGAAUGGCAUCAUUCAGUGAUUAAAACUACGGUGGUUGAGGAUGAGCAUGCGCAUGACUAGUUAGUUGGCGGGGUAACGGCCCACCAAGACGAUGAUCAUUAGGGGAACUGAGAGGUUGAUCCCCCACACUGGCACUGAGAUACGGGCCAGACUCCUACGGGAGGCAGCAGUAGGGAAUAUUGGACAAUGGGUGCGAGCCUGAUCCAGCCAUGCCGCGUGCAGGAAGACGGCCUUCUGGGUUGUAAACUGCUUUUGCCAGGGGAUAAAACGUCCAUGCGUGGAUAAUUGAAGGUACCUGGUGAAUAAGCCACGGCUAACUACGUGCCAGCAGCCGCGGUAAUACGUAGGUGGCAAGCGUUGUCCGGAUUUAUUGGGUUUAAAGGGUGCGUAGGCGGUUUUAUAAGUCAGUGGUGAAAUACAACAGCUUAACUGUUGAGGUGCCAUUGAUACUGUAAAACUUGAGUACAGACGAGGUAGGCGGAAUUGACGGUGUAAGCGGUGAAAUGCUUAGAUAUCGUCAAGAACACCGAUAGCGAAGGCAGCUUACUAGACUGUAACUGACGCUGAGGCACGGAAGUGUGGGGAUCAAACAGGAUUAGAUACCCUGGUAGUCCACACUGUAAACGAUGAUA